GGCAAGGUGGCCGAGUGGUCUAAGGCGCAUGACUCAAGUACUAAAAAGUACUUAACCUUCAUAGAGGGGUUUCUUUCUUCAAAGAAUUGUCUUGAAGAUUUCAUGUGGAGCAAUCCGCGCGAGUUCGAAUCUCGCCCUUGUCA
rnacentral:tRNA from 1 species